UCAUUAUUUGUUUUUAAAAUUCAGCCCUGUAUCUUACCCUAGUUUUCUAACAUAACAUCUGAUGGUGCAUCCUCUCAGUCUGUUUCUCGACUCUCUCUUCCUCAUUUCCUCGUCUCCAGAAGAAACCAUAAGAUUUGAAAUCUUGCAAAUCUCCAUCACUCAUCAUAAGCUUAGUAUUGUAUUUGGGAGGGCCAAUGAUCGAAGACAUCAGUAUAUAACAAACCGUCUCGAUUGUGAUCGUUGAUGCUGAACGACGACGAUACCCGAGCUCGGCGAUCUCCACCGUCCGAUCCAACGGCCGUGUUAGUUUUGGAUGAAGCCAUAGGGGCCGAUUUGCCUUGGGUCUGAACCCGUAGUCUCUGGCUGACGUUCCAAAGUCAUCCAUUGAUGCCUUCUUUAUUUUCUUGUAUUCAAAUUAUGAUAACAGUGGAUCAGAUCUGAGUGAAAUUGCCGUUCAUAGUAGGUCAAUCAGAGAGUUAAAGAAAACCCCUCUUUGUUAUAUAUAUCUAUAUCUAUAUAUAGAAGAAUAAAUUGGGAAAUUCAGUCAAUUCAGUCGUGGUAAGGUCUUUGAAAACGUUUGUAUAUAUAUCUAUGUCAUUUGGCUUUUGUAUUUAAAUGCUUAGAUCUGAUUUACAUCUGUUGCAUGUUUGAAUUGGUGUGUAUAAACAAUUUCUAUGUUUUUUGUGUUUUGUUCUU